UACGUAGGGUGCGAGCGUUAAUCGGAAUUACUGGGCGUAAAGCGUGCGCAGGCGGUUCGUUGUGUCGGUGGUGAAAUCCCCGGGCUUAACCUGGGAAUGGCCAUGGAAACUGGCGAACUGGAGUGCGGCAGAGGGGGGUGGAAUUCCGCGUGUAGCAGUGAAAUGCGUAGAGAUGCGGAGGAACACCGAUGGCGAAGGCAGCCCCCUGGGCUAGCACUGACGCUCAGGCACGAAAUCGUGGGGAGCAAACAGG
rnacentral:rRNA from 1 species